CAGUAGCGUAUAUUAAAGUUGUUGCAGUUAAAACGCUCGUAGUUGGAUUUCUGAUUGACCUCGAUGGCCCGGUUCCUCACGGAACUGAGUGCUGUUGAGUGUCGAUCAUCCUUUCAGUAAGUUGUGCCUACCGUUCGCGGCAGGGCGCUGCAAGCUGGAUCUUUUACUUUGAAAAAAUUAGAGUGUUUCAAGCAGGCUUACGCUUUGAAUACAUUAGCAUGGAAUAAUAAGAUAGGACUUUAGUCUUUCUUGUUGGUUUCAAAGACUGAAUUAAUGAUUGAUAGGGAUAGUUGGGGGUGCUAGUAUUCAGCGGCCAGAGGUGAAAUUCUUGGAUUCGCUGAAGACUAACUACUGCGAAAGCAUUCACCAAGGAUGUCUUCUUUAAUCAAGAACGAAAGUUGGGGGAUCGAAGACGAUUAGAUACCGU
rnacentral:rRNA from 1 species